rnacentral:tRNA from 1 species
GAGGGUAUAGCUCAGUGGUAAAGUGCUUGCUUAGCAUGCGUGAGGUCCUGGGUUCAAUCCCCAGUACCUCCA